rnacentral:rRNA from 1 species
UGGGGUGAAGUCGUAACAAGGUAACCGUAGGGGAACCUGCGGUUGGAUCACCUCCUUACCUGAAAGA